UCCGUCUUCCUUUUUCGCUUCUUCGCUUGAUAGUGAAGGUGGGCUCCGUCCGCUCCUGUGUACCUCCCCAUCUCACUCCCGAAGAGAAAACUCGAUAGAUGAUGGGGAUGAGCACCACACGGCUGCCAGCAAUGAAAGGAGAGUGAGGAGGGAUGUGGAUAGCACGAGAAGCUCAUUUUCCUUUUUAAAAAGGCACAAAGUCGUUCGAAGAGGGGGCAGGAGCACCCUUAUUCACACGGGCCGAAGGGAGAAACAUAACCCAUGGCGUUUCAGCGGUAGGCGAGUCUGUCUCUGUGUCUGUAUGUAGACGAAGGACGCGUAGAAGGACCAAAAAGGCAGCAAAAGAAGAGGUGCCGCUGUUCACGCGGUGAAGUUGCCUACACUGUGUCCACGACGCCACACCUUCUCCAAAAAGGAAUGGAGGCAUCUGUGGGCUGCGUUGUUGUCGUGGCAUACGUUUACGAAAGAGCACAAAGACGCAGCAACAACAGAAAAAAUGCCGCGCUGCUUCAUCGCCUCUUCCCUUUCUUCUUUGUGUUGUUUGUUCGCCUCGCUCAUAUUUUUCAUCUUUCUGUCUCUCGUGUUUGUUUGUUGUCUUACUUCCUCUGUUGUACACGCCCGUAUUUCUGUUUUGUUUUUUUCGUGUUUCUUCUAUUGUGGCGUUCUCGUGCACGUGAUGUAAGCUGGUGUGUGCGUGCGCGUUUUCAUACAUUGAAAUGCCUUCAACGCAUACCACAUGUGACAUCUCUUUCCUCCUCCCUACUUCACCUGCCGACUCCACCCGCUCUCACCUUCAGGUUCGACCUCCGCUUAUUGGUCCCCUCACCAGCCCUGAGGAGGUCGAAAAGCGAGACGGAAGGGGGCAAACAGAAUUCGCGAAUGCCUUUUGAAGCACUCAAACCUUCACAAAGCACGAAAAGAUCCUUUACGUAUUGUUUGGCUUCUCCGUGGCGACUUGUGUGUGCUUUUAUUUUAUUUUUUAUUUUUCUCUGUUGGACUCACGGACUCCGCUCGCUGUUGUUGGUCGGCGUUUUUGUGUGUGUGUGUGUGUGUGUGUGUGUGUGUGUGUGUGUGCAGAUUCUGUUUGUGGCUGUGUCGUGUGUCUACUUCCCUUCCAUUCUUUCGCUUCUCCGUCCUGAUAGUCUGUCCACCAAACCCCACCCUCUCCUGCCUCGUAAGCGUGUCUGUGUGUGCUUCAUUCCCUCCCCUCGCCCUUUUUUUCUGGAUUGCUGUACUGCCUCUAGCACUGGGCUUUCUGAUUGGUAGCCCCUCCCCCCCCCUCGUUGCGUGUCCUACCUCUUCGCCUUCUUUGUCAAAUGGUUAGAAGUGAAUCGUGGGCACGUGCUACAGGACGGAGGGCGGUAAAAGGAUCAAUAUGGGAUGACCGCAUUUGUGUGUGUACGGAAGCCGCUGCUGUUUUUGUUGUUUUUUGGUUGUUUGUUUUCUCCACCCUGUGUUGUUUACAGAAAUAAACAGCCAACGCCAUACUAACGCGUAUCUUUGUCUUCGGACUCACUUCUCUUUGUUGGUAGUAGCGCAGCUGUUUUUGUGCGCUUUUGAUAGCGCAUCCUUCGUCUCCCGAGGUCACCUCCUCUUUUCGUUAGGCUCUUUUCCUCGUUCUCUAUUUCUCUCCGUCCUUCCAUGGCAUCCGAGUCUUGCAGCAGCGGGGUAUGGAAAAUGAGUACGCACGCGUCUGUGUGUGUGUGUCUGUGACCGGGUGCUCCCUCUUUCCUGAAUAUCCUUGAUCAUCGCGCUUAUAUUGCUGCUGUGUCAACUCUCUUCCUUUAGCGGACAAGACACCGGUCGCCUUCGUAGACCGCAUGUCUAUUCAGCGUCCGUCUAAGCUCGCAAGCGACGCUGGAGGUAGAUGGAUGAAGAAAUUUGAAGACAGAAGAAAACAGUUGUACGCCUCUGCUACACUUGCGCAGGUGUGCGCUAGUGCUCGUUUGUCUGUGGGUGGGCGUGAAGGACGACGUUGCUGAGCACCCUUUUUCUCCUCUUACUCUACUCGUUUCUUUUCCCGUUAGCCUGGACACAGUGGACCACUCCAGAGCUGCGUGAGCUAGAAGGAGAGAGCGAGAGCGAGAGAGCUCCUUGUUUCCCUCCUUUCUUCCUCUGCCUGUGUGUGUGUGUGUGUGUGUGUGUGUGUGUCUGUCUGUAUGUUGUUUUUUGUGUGUCUUGUUUCUUCUGCAAUCGUUCUGUUAUGCUUCUCAUAUAUAUGCGUGUGUAUGCGUGUGCGCCGGGGUGUGUCUCCCCACUUUUUUCCCCGCUGCCUCGCAUCCCUUUUCUUUUUGUCGGUUUUUCGCUCUUCCUUUCCUUGUCUUCCGAUAAUGGCCCAUCCCCACUAACAGCAAUCAAGCCUUGUCUUUCCUUCGCGCUCGCACCCGCUUCCCCUCCCUUCACGCCCCACCCUCGCCGUCGCCCGUUGCGAUGUGAACAAACGCACAAGCUUGUACUGCUCGCUAGUGCGCAUGCGGAUGCUCCCUCGGUUCCCUUCUCUCUUUACUAGUAUUAUCUGCCUCUGGCCGUCUCUUCGUAUUUUCUCUGACUUGUUCUGACUGGCAGUCUGAUCGUUCUAUAUGCGUGGCAAACCGGUGGCGUGCUCGUACGGGCACGCGUGCGUGUUUCACUCCGUGAACAGGCCUCUCUCUGAGAUGGCGGUAUGCUAUCGUGAGGGUACACGCACGCAGCACCACGAUCGUUACAUGGGGCACCCGGCCACAUCACGAGUUUAACACCCGUCGAG
rnacentral:misc_RNA from 1 species